rnacentral:rRNA from 1 species
AUUGAACGCUGGCGGCAUGCCUUACACAUGCAAGUCGAACGGUAACAGGUCUUCGGAUGCUGACGAGUGGCGAACGGGUGAGUAAUACAUCGGAACGUGCCUAGUAGUGGGGGAUAACUACUCGAAAGAGUGGCUAAUACCGCAUGAGAUCUACGGAUGAAAGCAGGGGAUCGCAAGACCUUGUGCUACUAGAGCGGCCGAUGGCAGAUUAGGUAGUUGGUGGGAUAAAAGCUUACCAAGCCGACGAGCUGUAGCUGGUCUGAGAGGACGAUCGGCAGACGAGGAACUGAGACACGGCCCAGGCUCCAAGGGGAGGAAGCAGUGGGAAAUUUGGGACAAUGGACGCAAGCCUGAUCCAGCAAGGACGCGUGCAGAAUGAAGGCUUUCGGGUUGUAAACUGCUUUUGUACGGAACGAAAAGCCCUGGGUUAAUACCCUGGGGUCAUGACGGUACCGUAAGAAUAAGCACCGGCUAACUACGUGCCAGCAGCCGCCGAACAC